UACGUAGGGUGCGAGCGUUAAUCGGAAUUACUGGGCGUAAAGCGUGCGCAGGCGGUUUUGUCAGCCAGGUGUGAAAUCCCCGGGCUCAACCUGGGAAUGGCAUUUGGGACUGCAAGGCUGGAGUGCGGCAGAGGAGACUGGAAUUCCUGGUGUAGCAGUGAAAUGCGUAGAUAUCAGGAGGAAUACCGAUGGCGAAGGCAGGUCUCUGGGCUGACACUGACGCUCAUGCACGAAAGCGUGGGGAGCAAACAGG
rnacentral:rRNA from 1 species